rnacentral:rRNA from 1 species
UACGUAGGGUCCGAGCGUUGUCCGGAAUUACUGGGCGUAAAGAGCUCGUAGGUGGUUUGUCGCGUUGUUCGUGAAAACUCACAGCUCAACCUGUGGGCGUGCGGGCGAUACGGGCAGACUGGAGUACUGCGAGGGGAGACUGGAAGUUCCUGGUGUAGCGGUGGAAUGACGCAGAGUAUCAGGAGGAACCACCGGUGGCGAAGGCGGGUCUCUGGGCAGUAACUGACGCUGGAGGAGCGAAAGCGUGGGGAGCGAACAGGAUUAGACUAC